CAUCCUUGGGUGGUUCCAGCUCCAUCUUAACCUAAGGGCAGCUGCUAGGGUCCCGGGAGAAGAGAGGCAAUGUGACAGCUGCAUGAACCGGUUUCUAUGGACACAGGUGCACGGUUCUGUUCCCUGCUGUGUGUUAACGUUCAAUUGUUAAAACAGCCUUCUCGUUUUUUCCAGACGAGAAAGCGAGACUGCAAAGAAUGUGGCGGAAGUUCCCCCUUUGUUCCCUGGUUUCCAUUUUUUCCCUUCGUUCCUUUAAUUUAUCUGGCCUGGGUCUCCAUUUCCCAGCCUCCUCACGGUUUCCUGUGACCACGUGGCUCAAUUCCGUCCACUUGGAGAAGAGUGGAGAUGAUGUCUACAACUUAGGAUUGUGUCCUUAGCAAGACGCUGCUGGCUUCCCACACUCUUCCUCUCUCCAGUCUGGACUUCGGAGACUGCAGCAGCAGGCCAGCUUUGACCAUGAGCUGCACGCAGGUCAGGGAGCUGCAGAGAAACAGAGGAAACCUGGUCCCUGAAGCAUGUAAGAGCAAAGCUGUGUGCCCGCCCUAAAUCUACCCUCAAACUGAGCAAAUGAGGAAUGCUCUUCUCUUUCCUCUGAACCACCUGACCGACCAAGUUACAACCGUUUUGUACGUGUAUCCCCCCAGAACCCUAGGAUCAUAAGCUUAUGGCUUUUUGAAGUCCACGUUUGUGGACAUUCGUUGGAGAAGCAAGACUAAAAAAAAGCCCUUGCUGGUUGGCUCCCCAAAUGCAGGUGACAGACUGUGCUAACGCCUGACUUAGAGAGGAACUCAAAUGUGUCCGUUUGUCUGUGUGCCCAGCUGCCUCCUGCUUUUGGACUCAUCUCGGAUCAUUCACCAUAACAGCUAAGCUCCUCGUCCUUCCGGAAGCAUUUCAGGGAAGUAAUAAUAUGGCCAGCAGCCCCUCAUUAUUUCUCUUAUAAGCCCCAUGACUCUAAGUGCCCCCUUGAGACAGUCACUGGUUUGCACAUGGCUGUUUAAUCCUUCCUUGAAGGAUGCAUGUACACACGCAGGAUCUCAUGCACAGACAUGACAUGCAGGCUCACAUGUACACACACACACACACACACACACACACACACACACACACACACACACACAGGAGA